UAUUCAGAACACUGUAGGAAUUCUCUGAUUCCUUAUUAUAACAGGGAGAAAAGAUAAAAGUUUGUGAAGGUAAGAAGAAAGAUGAAAAAAUAGACAGACAGACAGAGACAAGUGAUAGAACCAAAAUUCCACAAAGCUAGUAGAACCUGGAUCAAAGUCCAGAUCUUCUUACUCUCGAUGAAAAUAGAUUCCACAAAUAAAGCAUACUCUUGUUGAAAACCUGAAAAAGGAAAAUGCAUGUCUGCACAACUGACUUUCUACAGUGAACCACAUCUUUACAAUCACACAAAUACAGAUGGGCACAAAAAAUAAAGAAUUCCAUUAUGCUUAA